AGUCGACGCAGUAGCAAUACUGAGUGGCAAACGGGGGAGUAUAAUGUGGGAAUCUGCCUUUUGGUUUGGAAUAACACGGGGAAACUUGUGCUAAUACCGAAUAAGCCCUUACGGGGAAAGUUUUAAUGCCGAAAGAUGAGCCUGCACUUGAUUAGCUAGUUGGUAAGGUAAAAGCUUACCAAGGCAACGAUCAAUAGCUGUUCUUAGAGGAAGACCAGCCACAUUGGGACUGAGACACGGCCCAGACUCCUACGGGAGGCAGCAGUGGGGAAUCUUGCACAAUGGGGGAAACCCUGAUGCAGCGAUGCCGCGUGAGUGAAGAAGGCCUUUGGGUUGUAAAACUCUUUCGUCGGGGAAGAAAAUGACUGUACCCGAAUAAGAAGGUCCGGCUAACUUCGUGCCAGCAGCCGCGGUAAUACGAAGGGACCUAGCGUAGUUCGGAAUUACUGGGCUUAAAGAGCUCGUAGGUGGUUAAAAAAGUUGAUGGUGAAAUCCCAAGGCUCAACCUUGGAACUGCCAUCAAAACUUUUUAGCCAGAGUGUGAUAGAGGUAAGUGGAAUUUCUAGUGUAGAGGUGAAAUUCGUAGAUAUUAGAAAGAACACCAAAUGCGAAGGCAACUUACUGGGUCACUACUGACACUGAGGAGCGAAAGCAUGGGUAGCGAAGAGGAUUAGAUACCCUCGUAGUCCAUGCCGUANACGAUGUGUGCUAGACGUUGGAAAUAUAUUUUUCAGUGUCGCAGCGAAAGCAUUAAGCACACCGCCUGGGGAGUACGACCGCAAGGUUAAACUCAAAUGAAUUGACGGGGACCCGCACAAGCAGUGGA
rnacentral:rRNA from 1 species